rnacentral:tRNA from 1 species
ACUCAAAAAAUCAUAAUGAUGGAAGGCUGUAAACCUUUAUUUUCCACUUUUAACCU